rnacentral:rRNA from 1 species
GAUGAACGCUGGCGGCGUGCCUAACACAUGCAAGUCGAGCGAACGGACGAGAAGCUUUCGCCCCUGAGGUUAGCGGGGGACGGGUGAGUAACACGUGGAUAGCCUACCUAUAAGACUGGGAUGAUAACGGGAAACCGGAGCUAAUAACGGAUAAUAUUUCGAACCGGAUGGUGCAAGAGUUAAAGAAGCUAUUGGUGACAGUAAUAGCCGGAUCCGGGUUGGAUUAGCUAGUUGGUAAGGUAACGGCUUAGCAAGGCUACGACGCAUAGACGACCUGAGAGGGUGAUCGGCCACACUGGAAGUGAGACACGGUCCAGACUCCGACGGGAGGCAGCAGUAGGGAAUCUUCCGCAAUGGGCGAAAGCCUGACAGAGCAAAACCGCGUGAGUGAUGAAGGACUUCGGAUCGUAAAGCUCUGUUGGUAGGAAAGAACAUAAGUGUAUGUAACCGUGCAGAUCUUGACGGUACCUAAAGAAUAAGCCCCGGCUAACUACGUG